CGAACGCUGGCGGCAGGCUUAACACAUGCAAGUCGAGCGAAUCCUUCGGGAUGAGCGGCGGACGGGUGAGUAACGCGUGAGUAACCUGCCUCAUACACAGGGAAAGCCAUUGGAAACUAUGAUUAAUACCUGAUAACACAUAUUUAACACAAUGUUAGAUAUGUCAAAGAUUUAUCGGUAUGGGAUGGGCUCGCGUCAGAUUAGCUAGUUGGUAAGGUAACGGCUUACCAAGGCGACGAUCAGUAGCCGGCCUGAGAGGAUGAUC
rnacentral:rRNA from 1 species